rnacentral:tRNA from 1 species
GCCACCGUAGCUCAAUGGUAGAGCAGCUGAUUCGUAAUCAGCAGGUUAGCGGUUCAAGUCCGCUCGGUGGCUCCA